CCUACGGGGGGCACCAUUAGGGAAUCUUCGGCAAUGGACGAAAGUCUGACCGAGCAACGCCGCGUGAGUGAAGAAGGUUUUCGGAUCGUAAAACUCUGUUGUUAGAGAAGAACAAGGACGUUGGUAACUGAACGUCCCCUGACGGUAUCUAACCAGAAAGCCACGGCUAACUACGUGCCAGCAGCCGCGGUAAUACGUAGGUGGCAAGCGUUGUCCGGAUUUAUUGGGCGUAAAGCGAGCGCAGGCGGUUUCUUAAGUCUGAUGUGAAAGCCCCCGGCUCAACCGGGGAGGGUCAUUGGAAACUGGGAGACUUGAGUACAGAAGAGGAGAGUGGAAUUCCAUGUGUAGCGGUGAAAUGCGUAGAUAUAUGGAGGAACACCAGUGGCGAAGGCGGCUCUCUGGUCUGUAACUGACGCUGAGGCUCGAAAGCGUGGGGAGCAAACAGGAUUAGAUACCCGUGUAGUC
rnacentral:rRNA from 1 species